AGGGGGAAAGACUGGUUUGGGGCCUUUUGAGGUUCAGAUCAGGAGUGCUUCUGUACUCCCCACCAGGACUGUCCUGCCCUCCGACUGUUCUGCUCCCCAGGGAGCCCCUGGGAUCUCUCUACCUGGUAGCAACCCGCAGCUUCUCCUCCUGCCUGAGUGAUUUCUCCUGGGGUUGGAAGCAAUGUGAACAUCCCCUGUAAGUACGAUCAUGCCUUGGGGUGGCCGGUUUGUUCUGGGAGUGCUGCUGGGUUUGCAGUGUUUGGUUUCUCCACCCCAUGUGCGGAUGGUGGGAGCUUUAUUUGGUGCCGAUUGCUUGGAUUUCCACCUCUCCUGGCAGCAUUCCCAAGCUGUGGUCUUGGUCCAAACCUCUCCAUCCUGCUCGAGGGCCACAUCUGCUUCCCAUUCACCCAGGGGAAAAAAGGACAACUCUUGCUGCACCCAGGAUGCUGGAUGGAGGGAUGAUGGGGCAGGAAGCAAGCAGGAGAAGCCUUCCCUGGGCGCGGGCAGGGCUUUGGAGCACGUCAGUGCUGGCACCCGCUGCUGGAGGAGCUGAGCCAAGGAGGGGAAUGACACAUCCCAGCACAAACAGCCAGGGGAUGACUGCGUGGAGGCGAGGAACGGCAGUGCUUAACCCUUCGGAGAUGCCCAGAAUAAAAAUACAGCAGAGACACGUGGAGGAAAGGAGCCGUCGGGACAAACGGCCAUGGGAAAUCCUGGAAAGACACCGAAGUCCCGCAGGAGCGAGGCACCCAGCUUGCAGCCACGGUUUUGCAUGUGAGCACGGCCUGCAUCCCAUCAGGAGAAGCAGGACGAUGAAACCCAGCAAUAAUAGCACGAAGCCGGGGCCAUGUUCCCUGCCUCCUUUGCCUGCACCCUCGGGUUUUGUGCGUGGCUUUUCCGUGGGAACCCUGCCCGAGAUGCUCGCUCCCUGCAGAUGCCGGCGGCGGUGCGGGAGCCAGGAGCUGACCUCACCAUUUCUCAGCAGGAAACCAGUCGCCAGCAACUGCUGUUCCCGCUGACCUCAUGCCGUGGGAGACCUGUCCCGUCUCACCUGGAAACGCCAGCAGCCAGACAAAAGCUGCUUUUACCCGGAGAGCUAUUUCCAGCCUGGAUGCGUGUCACACCAGGGAGCUUAUUCCUUGGUCCCACGGUGUGGCCGCGUGGGCUCCCCGGGACGGGAGCACCCCGAGCAUCCCCAGCACCACGGGAUGCAUCCAGACCCGCCUGCCUGCCACGUGUUGGAACAAGAAAAGCAAUCACGGCUGAAAAUGAGAGGAAGGGGAGGUGUGAAGGAAAGGCUGGUGGGUGCCAGACAGGCUCCCCCUGCGGUGUCCCCCUCUCCAACCCUGCACAGGGCAGUGGGAGAAGCAGACGGGGUUUUUUAUUCAUUUUGGGGCAAGAGGAGGCAAUUUCCUCCCUGUGAGCACCUGGAGGGCGCAGCUGAUGAGCAGGGCUCUUCCAGCCGUGCAAAGCUCAGGAGGGUUUUUUUUAUCCGGGGCUGCUCCAUUAACGCAAACAGACAGCGACGCUGGCUGCUGACACCGGGGUUAAUUAAAUCCAUCUCUCCAUCAAUUCUUAUUCAACUAUUAUCGAUGGUCAUUAGAUCAGCGACAAAGUGACAAGCAAACAGUAAUAGACUCAUCUUAACCCUUGUGGUGCUGGAGAAGGGCAGCGGGAUGAGGAGCGGGGGGGCUGCUGGUGGUAGUUGAUGGUUACGGGGCUGCUCGCCCCUCUCCGGUACGUGCUGCUGGGUUUUUGUAGGGUUUGGGCUUCUUUCUUCGUGCAGCUCUUUACGUUGGCUGCUAACACCUGCAGGAGCCACAAGGUGCUUGAGAGCAGCAGAAGAGAUGCUUGCAAGAUAGAGGAACCACUCGUUCCUUGGGGAAAAGCAAGCAUGAAACAAAUGGGCAGAGAAACUAAGGCAGGACACCCCGAGGCAUGGUGCCGGAGAGGGACCUGCUGGGUGCUCAGGAUCCGGCCUUGCUCGGUGUUUUGAACUGUGUGUGUCACUUACUGUUUGCAAAAUAAUUGCCACCCUCAUUUGGGGAGGGAAAUAAUUACUUCCUUCGUGACACGAAGUCAAUUUUGGUCCUGAACCGGAGGGACAGGCUGACAGAGGGAAUUUCAGAGCGAGCGAAAACGAGGCUGGCAUUUGGAGGCUGCAGUUAAAGACACCGGGGGGGUUCUCGCCCUUCUGCUUUUGCACAUCAGAUCAGAGAACUUGUAAGAUGGGCUGGCUGCUCCUCUUCAGGCAAAGGCCUGCCUUAACUUUUCUACUUUUUGCCCAAAUAUUCAAAGAGGCACAUUUUUCCCCCUGUUUGCCAUAGGAACGAGGUCAUUUAAUGGGGUCCCCUGGAGAGCUCCACCAUGGGAACACGGCCAUGACAUAUAAAAUGCUCCCAGGAGCAGGGAUCCUGCACCAGGGACACAAAAAAUAAUAAUAAAAAAAAUAAAAUAAAAAAUAAAUCA
rnacentral:lncRNA from 1 species